AACGCGAAGAACCUUACCAGCUUUUGACAUGUCCGGUAUGGUUCCCAGAAAUGGGAUCCUUCAGUUCGGCUGGCCGGAACACAGGUGCUGCAUGGCUGUCGUCAGCUCGUGUCGUGAGAUGUUGGGUUAAGUCCCGCAACGAGCGCAACCCUCGCCCUUAGUUGCCAUCAAUCAGUUGGGCACUCUAGGGGGACUGCCGGUGAUAAGCCGCGAGGAAGGUGGGGAUGACGUCAAGUCCUCAUGGCCCUUACAGGCUGGGCUACACACGUGCUACAAUGGCGGUGACAGUGGGAUGCAAUGGAGUAAUCCUGCGCAAAUCUCAAAAAGCCGUCUCAGUUCGGAUUGUGCUCUGCAACUCGAGCACAUGAAGUUGGAAUCGCUAGUAAUCGUGGAUCAGCACGCCACGGUGAAUACGUUCCCGGGCCUUGUACACACGACGCGUA
rnacentral:rRNA from 1 species